rnacentral:rRNA from 1 species
ACUACCUGUCUAGUAUAGCAUUUAUACCGGGAAACUGGGAAUGGCUCAUUAAAUCAGUUAUCGUUUAUUUGAUAGUACCUUUACUACUUGGAUAACCGUGGUAAUUCUAGAGCUAAUACAUGCUAAAAAUCCCGACUGUUUGGAAGGGAUGUAUUUAUUAGAUAAAAAAUCAAUGCUCUUUGAGCUCUUUGAUGAUUCAUAAUAACUUUUCUAAUCGCAUGGGCUUGUGCUGAGCGAUGGUUUCAUUCAAAUUUCUGCCCUAUCAACUUUCGAUGGUAGGAUAGUGGCCUACCAUGGUUUCAAGCGGGUAACGGGGAAUAAGGGGUUCGAUUCCGGAGAGGGAGCCUGAGAAACGGCUACCACAUCCAAGGAAGGCAGCAGGCGCGCAAAAUUACCCAAUCCCGACACGGGGAGGUAGUGACAAUACAUAACGAUACAGGGCCCUUUCGGGUCUUGUAAUUGGAAUGAGUACAAUGUAAAUACCUUAACGAGGAACAAUUGGAGGGCAAGUCUGGUGCCAGCAGCCGCGGUAAUUCCAGCUCCAAUAGCGUAUAUUAAAGUUGUUGCAGUUAAAAAGCUCGUAGUUGAACUUUGGGCUUGGUUGGCCGGUCCGCCUUUUUGGCGAGUACUGGACCCAACCGAGCCUUUCCUUCUGGCUAACCAUUCGCCCUUGUGGUGUUUGGCGAACCAGGACUUUUACUUUGAAAAAAUUAGAGUGUUCAAAGCAGGCCUUUGCUCGAAUAUAUUAGCAUGAGAAUAAUAGAAUAGGACGUUAUGGUUCUAUUUUGUUGGUUUCUAGGACCAUCGUAAUGAAUUAAUAGGGACGGUCGGGGGCAUCAGUAUUCAGUUGUCAGAGGUGAAAUUCUUAGAUUUACUGAAGACUAACUACUGCGAAAGCAUUUGCCAAGGACGUUUUCAUUAAUCAAGAACGAAAGUUAGGGGAUCGAAGAUGAUCAGAUACCGUCGUAGUCUUAACCAUAAACUAUGCCGACUAGGGAUCGGGUGUUGUUCUUUUUUUGACGCACUCGGCACCUUACGAGAAAUCAAAGUC